GCUUUAUGCGUCAAAAGGAUUCGUCUGCCCAAGGAUGGUCUGCGGCCUAUCAGGUAGUAGUGGGUGUAGCGUACCUACUAGCCUACGACGGGUACGGGUGUGAGAGCAAGAGCCCGGAGAUGGAUUCUGAGACACGAAUCCAGGCCCUACGGGGUGCAGCAGGCGCGAAAACUUUACAAUGCUGGCAACAGCGAUAAGGGAACCUCGAGUGCCAGGUUACAAAUCUGGCUGUCGAGAUGCCUGAAAAGCAUUUCAUAGCAAGGGCCGGGCAAGGCCGGUGCCAGCCGCCGCGGUAACACCGGCGGCUCGAGUGGUAACCGUUAUUAUUGGGUCUAAAGGGUCUGUAGCCGGCCGGAUAAGUCUCUUGAGAAAUCUGGCAGCUUAACUGUCAGGCUUUCAGGAGAUACUGUCUGGCUCGAGGCCGGGAGAGGUGAGAGGUACUUCAGGGGUAGGGGUGAAAUCUUGUAAUCCUUGAAGGACCACCAGUGGCGAAGGCGUCUCACCAGAACGGACCUGACGGCAAGGGACGAAAGCUA
rnacentral:rRNA from 1 species